AUGUAUCAUAAGAAGAAAAUCUGUUCAUACGUUCACAAAUAUGUUUUCUCCUAAUCUGUCUUCAGGAAAAUGUCUUUGUGAGGAGCAAGAGUGGUGAUCUCAGGAGAGCUGGGACAAAGGGACAGAACAGAUACAGAAUUUCUCUGCUGGGAUUUUUCCAACGGGAUCCAUGGAGAAGGAUCGAUCCAACACCCAUCAUACAGCCACAGUCCCUCCAUGUGGCACGGGAACACGUGUCCAUGCCAGCAGGCAGGAGGGAAGGAAUGAUACCCACUGGCCACACCCCAGUGCACCAGCUGAACUUGGGGAGAGGGGCUGCGGGUGGCCCUGAGCUGCAGCAUCCUCCUCAGAGGGACACAGCAGAGUCAGCAGAAACACCUGAAGCUCCUGGCUCUGCUCUGUCAAGCCUCAGCCAGAAGCAGGGACACCUUCCACUGUCCCAGGCUGCUCCAAGCCCCAGUGUCCAGCCUGGCCUGGGACACUGCCAGGGAUCCAGGGGCAGCCACAGCUGCUCUGGGCACCCUGUGCCAGGGCCUCACCAUCCUCACAGGGAAGGAUUUCUACCACACAGCCAACCUAAAUUUCCCCUCUGUCAGUGUGAAACCAUUCCCUCUUGCCCUCUCGCUGCAGCUCCUGGUGAAGACUCCCUCUCUGGCUUCUUUGUAUACCCCUUCAGAUACUGGAGGGCUCUGGGAGGUCCCCCUGAGCCUUCUCCCCUCCAGGCUGAGCAGGCCCUGCUUUCUCAGGCUCACAGGGGAGGUGCUCCAGGGCCCUUACCAACUUUGUAACUCCUCUGCUCUUCCUGCCCCUUACCAACUUUGUAACUCCUCUGGCCUUGCUGCCCCUUACCAACUUUGUAACUCCUCUGCUCUUCCUGCCCCUUACCAACUUUGUAACUCCUCUGCUUUUCCUGCCCCUUACCAACUUUGUAACUCCUCUGGCCUUGCUGCCCCUUACCAAGUUUGUAACUCCUCUGCUCUUCCUGCCCCUUACCAACUUUGUAACUGCUCUGGCCUCACUGCCACAGUGCCGUCCAUUGGGGGCACAGAACAGAUCCAUCUGCACUGGUGCUUGGGUGGGAAUGUUCUCCCAGCCAUUGUGAUGACUAACACAAGGAACCCCUUAGAACUCCUUUUGUUGGAGUAGGAUUCUGAUUCCUACUCAGCUGAACCGAUCCUGUGAGAUUUUCACCAGUUCUGAGGCUCUGGACCACCAUUUCUACUAUUGCAGCUCUCGAUUUCUGCCCUGUUCAGCACCCUCCUACUCACAGUCAGUUCUGAAGUGUGAGCCUGGGUCACACAGCUUGGGAACAGGUUCCCAGAGCAUGUUCUGGAGUCACAUUUGGGCCCCAGGGAGGCCUGGGAGUUGCCAAACUCUGGAUGACAGAAUUCCCUGCAGGACGUCAGCCAACACUCCCAGAUGUUCUGAGCAGAUGUAGAACAGUGUAAUGGACAUGAGAAAUGUUCUCUGAGUUAUUAACCAUGAGUGCAAGGACAGUUCCAUCUCUGCUUUGGGAAGGAGUAGUGCAAAGUCUGUCACUGCAGUGACUCUGUGCAAUAAUUCUCCAAGGAGUGGCGCAAGCAGCGUGUUCUGCUCUGCCUGCCCCAGAGAGCAGAGGGGCACUCGGGGACAGGGUUCAGAGCUGGCCUUGCCAGUGCUGAGUCACCCAUUGGACUCAGUGAUCUCAGAGCACUUUUCCAACCUCAUCCAGCCCAUGGUUCUUCGAUUCCAUGAUCCUCUCUGAGGACACGCUGCUGUGUCCCAUGUGGACGUUGGCAGAUGUCCCUGCCUGGCAAAGCCUCAGCUCACCAGGAACGAGAGGAGAUGGGAGAACAAAAGUAGGGGGAAACCUGCUCAUGGCUGACUUCCAGACACAGUAAAAUGGGGAAUUAGGGACUUCUCAGUAUGAAUAUUUUUUGCCUAAGUGCUUGGGCUGUUUUUGGUCCUGAGCUUGUCUGAGAAAACAGUUUUCCUAGGCUGACUAAUCCAACCGUAAGCAGCAGCCUAAAUAAUAGUCAUGACUUACAGUUUUAAUUAUGCUGCCUUCUGCCAGCAGAAGCUGAGAAGGAGCGGGAGGUGUGCUGGGUUGUUACAUUGUGGUGUUCAUGCACACCCAAACACGGGACAUGGGACAUGCUCUGCAGCACCAGGGCACUGGUGGUUGAAGCAGAGGACCCCUGCUUCCUACCUGUGCAGAGGUGGGUGGCUGUAGCUGUAACUCCUGCCCUGGCAGUGUUCUCCAGCACUUCUGUACACACAUCUUGAUGUUCCCUUCACAUGAAGUACUCAUUGCAGCUUUUCCUUGGACUCUGGCUCACAUGUGGCUGUUUGUGGGAGCGUGUCCAAGGCAAACUGAGUGUCAGGAGCGUGCAUCAUUUAUUUUGGGACACAGCAUGGCCACAUCACAGCAGAAGCACGGGCUCACUAUUGACAUUAGCACACGCAGCAGUGUGCUGAAACGGCAUCACCUGGCACGGCACAGACACCAUCUUGAGCACAAUCUGAUGAUUCCUUUGUGGAUCAGCUGAGUCUCUGCGUGCUUAACCAUUGGCCUCCCCUGGUAAAGUCCUUCCAGAAUGGAAAAGGAAUAAAAAUACACAUUCAUAACUUUGUCUGAAAGCUUUUUAAU